CUUUCAGAGAGUGUUUCCGGAGCGCCUACUGUGUGCUCCUCCAUGGGGGUGGGGGCACUACCAGGCACAAAGGGUGCCAGUCCCCGUACCUUUGUAAGUUCGCCUCCUCCUCUGGGAGCUUGCCCUUGUGGGGAUGGGGAAACUGAGGCUCAGUCGGCUCAGAGUAACUCCCAGGUGCUAAAGGACCAGUUGUUUUGUCCGCUCAUAAGGCAAACGGCGCGGCGAAGACCACUUGGGAUAAAACCCCAAGCCUAGCGCAGAUGGUCGGCCAGGGGAGCCUCUGGUGGGCAGUCACAAGCCCACGGAUUCCACCAGUGACCCCAGGCCUGCUCACAUGAGUGACGCGUUCCUCCCCAUGGCCAGCAGCAGAGCGGACUGAAUGCUGGGUGACAGGCUGGCCUCAGACUCCGGUGCUCAAGGAUAUUCUUGCUUCAGGUUCCCAAAUAGCACUGCACACUGCACACGUGAAUCCCCAUGCCUGAUGACGACGGUACAGGGUUCUGGACUUGAAAGACGCAUUCUUUUGCCUGAAACUACAUCCCAUAAGCCAGGAUUCAAAAACUCUCUUACCCUCUUUGAUGAGGCCCUCCACCGAGACUUGGAAGCGCCCAGUAGCCUAUCUGUCAAAGAAACUGGACCCCGUGGCUAGCAGAUGGCCCUCCUGUCUACAGGCAAUAGCAGCCACAGCUGUGUUGGUGAAAGAUGCUGAUAAAUUGACUAUGGGCCAAAAUGUGACAGUGGUGGCCCUGCACACCCUUGAGAGCAUUAUUCGGCAGCCACCAGAGCUUGUUGUUGACCAAGCGGGUGACCUUCGCUCCACCCACCAUUCUUACCCCCACCACUUUACUGCUUGAAGCUAAUGAAACCCCCGUACAUCUCUGUGAGGAGAUACUGGCAGAGGAAACUGGGACUCGGCCAGAUUUAACUGACCGAUCAUGGCGCGGAGCGGUGGCCUGGUUCACCGAUGGAAGCAGCUUCAUGGUAGAAGGUAAGAGCAGAGCCAAGGCAGCUGUAGUGGACGGGAAGUCUGUUAUAUGGGCCAGCAGCCUGCCUGAAGGAACAUCAGCCCAAAGAGCAGAACUUACUGCCCUAACUCAGGCUUUAAGGCUAGCAGAGGGAAAGACUAUUAAUAUUUACAUUGACAGCCUGUAUGCCUUUGCAACGGCUCGUGUUCACGGAGAGAUCUACAGACAGUGUGGACUAUUGACUUCUGCUGGAAAAGACAUCAAAAAUAAAGAAGAGAUUCUUAGUUUGUUAGAAGCUGUCCACUUGCCCUGUAAUGUGGCGAUCAUCCAUUGCCCAGGACAUCAAAAGGGAACUGGACCAA
rnacentral:lncRNA from 1 species